rnacentral:rRNA from 1 species
CCUACGGGAGGCAGUAGUGAGGAAUAUUUGUCAAUGGACGAGAGUCUGAACCAGCCAAGUAGCGUGAAGGAUGACUGCCCUAUGGGUUGUAAACUUCUUUUAUAUGGGAAUAACAUGUUCCACGUGUGGGAUUUUGUAUGUACCAUAUGAAUAAGGAUCGGCUAACUCCGUGCCAGCAGCCGCGGUAAUACGGAGGAUCCGAGCGUUAUCCGGAUUUAUUGGGUGUAAAGGGAGCGUAGGUGGAUUGUUAAGUCAGUUGUGAAAGUUUGCGGCUCAACCGUAAAAUUGCAGUUGAAACUGGCAGGCUUGAGUACAGUAGAGGUGGGCGGAAUUCGUGGUGUAGCGGUGAAAUGCUUAGAUAUCACGAAGAACUCCGAUUGCGAAGGCAGCUCACUGGACUGCAACUGACACUGAGGCUCGAAAGUGUGGGUAUCAAACAGGAUUAGAUACCCGUGUAGUC